rnacentral:rRNA from 1 species
GUAAUGUCUGGGAAACUGCCUGAUGGAGGGGGAUAACUACUGGAAACGGUAGCUAAUACCGCAUGACCUCGUAAGAGCAAAGUGGGGGACCUUCGGGCCUCACGCCAUCGGAUGUGCCCAGAUGGGAUUAGCUAGUAGGUGAGGUAAUGGCUCACCUAGGCGACGAUCCCUAGCUGGUCUGAGAGGAUGACCAGCCACACUGGAACUGAGACACGGUCCAGACUCCUACGGGAGGCAGCAGUGGGGAAUAUUGCACAAUGGGCGCAAGCCUGAUGCAGCCAUGCCGCGUGUGUGAAGAAGGCCUUAGGGUUGUAAAGCACUUUCAGCGAGGAGGAAGGGUUCAGUGUUAAUAGCACUGUGCAUUGACGUUACUCGCAGAAGAAGCACCGGCUAACUCCGUGCCAGCAGCCGCGGUAAUACGGAGGGUGCAAGCGUUUAAUCGGAAUU